UACAGAGGCCUCGAGCGUUAAUCGGAAUCACUGGGCUUAAAGGGUGCGUAGGCGGCGCUGCAAGUGCCUUGUGAAAUCCCAUGGCUUAACCAUGGAACUGCUCGGUAGACUGCAGCGCUUGAGGUUGGUAGGGGCUGCCGGAACUCUAGGUGGAGCGGUGAAAUGCGUAGAUAUCGAGAGGAACACCAGUGGCGAAGGCGAGUCCCUGGACAACACCUGACACUAAGGCACGAAAGCUAGGGGAGCAAACAGG
rnacentral:rRNA from 1 species